rnacentral:tRNA from 1 species
GCCUCUGUAGUUCAACGGAUAGAACACGCGGCUACGGACCGUGAGAUCUGGGUUCAAAUCCUAGUAGGGGCA